rnacentral:lncRNA from 1 species
CGGGAGCAGCAGCGGAGGGGGUUUCUCACUUUCUAGCAGCUUCGGUGCGCUGCGCUUAGACUAGGCAACAGGCGCUCUGCGGUGAAAUGAGGGGCUCUGCCCCACGAAUCCUUCUCGCUAGCUUCUUUCAGAGCUUGCCACGGAGAAAUUUCGUCUUUAUUCCUUGGGUAAUUCUCCUGCCUGGAGCCCUGGUUAGUCCCUUCGUCGCCGCUCCCUCCCCAUCAUGCCUCCUCUUCAGGGGGCGAACGUGCGUCUGUUCCGUUUGGAAACGUCUCCUUUGGCCUCGGAGCAGGACCCCAGUUCGCCGUGCGUCCCUGCGGGGCCUGGCCACCCAUCGCCUCCAGGUUGGUGAUUAGUUAUCUGGCACCACAGACCCCGUGGCAGCCAUGGAGUGGCUUCUCCUUUUGGUGAUUUUGGCAGCUGGCAUUUAUGGAGGAUUACAGCUUUCCAAGCCCCUUCCCAAGCCUCUGAUGUGUUUUGACACUAAUGCUCACGGCCACCCUCUGCGGUACUCAACAAGAAUGAGCUUCGCACAUCCGAUAAGCUAGCAUUUUCAAGAACCUGUAUCCUUGCAGCAAUUGUGUCUGGAUUCCAUGCUCUGGUGUGACUGUGACUCACUGUGGCUGUGCCCGAGGCCACCAUGUGGGACCCCCAGCCACCCUGCGGACGGCCGCAUGUGCUGGUUCCAGCAGAGGAAUUCAGCUGUGAUGUUUUAUUGUCAUAAACUGUUACAGUUGGAAGAGUCUUUGAGGAUCAUUUAAUCCAACUUCCAAGUUUCAAAGGAGAAAUUUUGAGGAAAAUUAUUUUUCGAUGAGAUCACCGGACAUUGUGACCAGCAUUAGCUCUCUCCAGUUAUACUUUUAUGUCGCUUAGUGCUGACAAUCCAUAAUUAAGGUUUCUCAACUUUAGAACAAAUAGUCACGAAUAUUCAUUGUUAGGGAAAGCAUGCAACCAAUCCACCUUGUUUUCCAUGUAAGAUGGGACCACAGAUAUCACUAAAGUAUGAAAAUUUGCUUUCAUGUCUCUUUGUGUAUUUUAGAUAAUGCGGACUUUGGGUUAGAUAAGCAUAUGUUUAUAUUUUGAUGGUGUCAUUAAAGCUAUCAGGCUUUUCUUAAAGAGCUGAGUAUGGCUUCUUAGGAUAUUACGUGGUUCUAACUUCAAGUUCUUAAUAUAAAUUAAGAACAUUUAUCUACUCAUUUAUCUAUUCCUAUAUGUAGCUUUAAAUAUGAGUCAAUGAAUAUACAUACAGACGUGUGUGUGUGUGCGUGCGCGUGUGUGCGCGCCCACGUGUAUGUAUGUGUGUGACAUUUGGGCUCCUUGGAAGAUUAUUCAGAUGAUAGCUUAUGACAGAAAUUUGCUUUCCGAUGCUCCAUUUACUGACAAGCCAGUGUAUAAUCAACUCUGAAUUUUUAUGCUUUUUCUACACAUAAAAUUCUAAGAGAUAUUAUAAAUAGUUUGUGUCCCUUUUGUAUAUAAUUUGGAUAUCUAAUUGUAGUUCCAAACUCAGACAUGUCUGUAGAAUGUAUUUUUAAUUCUUGCAAAGAACUAAUAAGUAUAGGUUAAAAGUAGUUUGGCAAGAAAGUGAUUAUGAAUACUAUUAAAGCUGGAAUCUAGCCCAGGAGAAAUACUUCAGUGGGUAGAAGACUUCAGUUUAUCUCCAUCUGGAGAGUGUUCAGGAAUACUUGAGAAACAGAAAUUGCUGCCUGUAAUGUCUUAAAACUGCUUGCUCUGCCUUCUUACAGUUUAAAUUCAGUCAUUAUCUGUCAAGGUUACAAAGGUACUGACUAGGAUUUAGAAAGGGACAUAUUGAGUCCUAUAUGACAUUAAGGUUUUAAAUACAAUGACUAAAGCAACUAAGAUCAUUCAAAAGGGAACCAAGAAGUUGGAAAGGAAGAAAUAAAAUGAGAAAAAGGUAAAGUAUAGGUGGAAAUGUCUGUUCAAAUAUUAGCCAUGUUGUAUAGAAAAAUUACAGAUGAAGGGAAAGAGUUUAUGCCAUGAGAUGUUUAACAUCAUCAAGUUUAACUUAGUGAUUUUUUGUGGUUGAAAUUUUUUUAAUAGAAAGAUAAAAAAUGUACUGAAAGUGCAUAAAACAUAGUAGCAAAUACUUUGAACAAAUAUCUGUUUAACAUAAACCGGGCUUAAAAAAACAAUGUCAAUCCGCUAGAAGCUAGCUGGUGUCUUUUCUCUAAUGCAUGGCCUUUUCUCCUUCUUUGGAGAUACCCCCAUCCUCACUUUAGCAUCUGUAGAGGGGUGGGUUAAUAACUGAUUAGACACAGGCAGAAGUAGAAUUACAGAAUUAGAAGGUGGGUUUGUUGGAAUAAUUUCAGAGUGAUCAAGAGUAAUGGAGACUAGCACAAAGAUUCUGGGAUUCUGGAAAGAGAGGUUAGAAGUGGAGCUGGGAUAUGAGAAGAGUGUGAGAAAAGAUUUCAGAAAAGGAGCUGUGAUAUGAGAAAAGGAGUGUAUAUAUGCCUAUGACUGGGUCACUUUGCUGUACAGCAGGAGGAAACGUUUGGGUAUUUAGUCCCUGAAAUAAGGAACAGGUGAGCACCAGCUGUGAGGCAAGUUGUCAUAUAAAUGAAUAUCUAUUUGUAUCAAACCCAGAUUUAACUUAUUUUAGAAUGCAUUGUUUGAGAAUUUAACAUAUGCCCAUAUUUUAGCACAAAGGCAUUUUGAAAAUGACGGCAGUCUUAACCCUACAACAUAAAGUAAAUCUGCCUUCUGCUGGGGUCUUUGCUUUUCUUCUUCCCUUCCCAUCAGCCAAGCCCAGUUUAAAAUCCAGCCCGGGACGUAGAGCUUUUCAUGGGCACCACCACAACCCUGGAACCUAUAACCACCAGCCACCCGUGCCUCCAUGUCACCUGGCCCCCAGGUGAUGGAGAGGCGACUGGAUCCAGGCCACUGCUGCUUUCGCAGCUUCCCCUGUGCAGCACCCUGCUGCAGGCUGGGCUCCCCGUCUCCCCAGCAGUGAUUAAGGCUGGGCCUGUGCUGCAGCCUGCGGUAUUGGCCAAAGGCCUGGAGCAGGUGAGCCAGUGGGAAGUGUUCACAUUGCCACACUCUGAAAAUCAGUUUUCAGCUUAAAAAAAAAAAAUGUCAUGAAAAUCAGUAGAGGCAGAAUUUUAUUUGCCAUUUUCUUGGACGUAAUAGAAUUUCCAAAACUCAUCUGCUUCACGUUAAAACUUAGAUUUUUUUUCCACUUCGGCUUUUAUCUGAAGGCCGUAAUCAACCACAAGCAAUGCAAAGGGGAAGUCCUGAGUGUGCAGCCUGUCGGAAGCUGCCUCAUCAGAGCCCUUCACAUCCGCAGGAAAGGCCUGCAGGCGGGAGCGUGUGGGUGGGUCCCACUGGCCACGAGCCUGCUCAGCUCAGCUCGGCUGCUCAGGGCACCUGGGCUCCUGCAAGGAGCUAGGGCCAUGGGACAGACACUCUGAGAAAAGUGCCCUGAACAUGGUAGACAGUUUGGAGGCCCGGGCGUGAGGUCUCUCUGCUGCCUUUGGCCUCCCCCGUGCCGUGGGCGGCACCUGUGUGGGUGCAGGGCUGGGUGUGCCCUGAAUGUGUGUGUGUGUGGACACACGUGUCCUCAGCAUUGCAUGGGCUCAGAGGUUUAGGAAACAGCAGGAGCAACGCCCACGGUCCCGUUCUGUCCAGAACGGUUCUUCCUCAGAGGACAGGAGUCCACUAAUUUAGUUCAUCCUUUAAGGGUUUCCUGGAGCCGUGGACAUUGUGGUUUAGAUAAGGAACUUGAUUAUUUUUACUUAAGACAUUUGCAUAGGAUAUUAUCUGUCAAAAUGACCCUGAGAAACAGGGGGCAGAGUUUGGAAAUGGGGACCUGCCCAGCCUGGAGCCCUGGGUGGGCAGUGCUAGGUGGUUCCUGUUGGCCGCCGCUGGCCAUGGAGUUGACCCCCAUGGAAGUGGGGUCCUGCCUGGGUUCUCAGCGGUCAGUCAGUGUUUUCUGAAUUGAACUGUUUAGUAUCAACUCCUUAACUAGCAAUAGAUCAAUGAUUUCUUGUUUCCAUUGACACAUCUGAGGAAAACCUGUGUUUUCCCCCAGAAAUGUUAAUAUCAUGAAAAACAUUUUCUAUGCUCUGAAAAGCACAGAAAUGAAAUUUUUUCUUUGAGUCCUUAUUAAGUCCUGGGGGAAAUUACUUUUAAAGGACCCAAACAUUUUUAGACUUCCAGGGUGUCGAGAUUGAAAAAUGUUUUUGAAGAAAUGGUGUUUGGUUUUUGUUUUGCUUGCAUUAUUUUGUAUGUAAUGGCUGUCCUUUGGGAGCAUGGGUCCUAGUCAGACGUCUGCCCUCUAACUGGCUCCAUUAUUUCACACCUAGUUGGUCUCUUGUCUCUCAGCCGCUUGCACUGGUUUUCUCUAUUUGUUCAUCGGCGCCAGUUUAACGCAACUCCCACCACCUUGUGGAUCUUUCAUUUCUCAGGCUGCAAAAUGCUAAUGAUUUCUUCCUGCCAGUCAGUUGGUACUAAAGUUGCCAUCUGCUUAUCUUUUGUCUCUUGCUACCGUGGCCUUGUGUUGUUUAUAGAUCUGUGUGUCGAGAUUUUUAAUUGGUCUUGAAAUGGUCCAUUAAUCAUUCAAUACAUUUAUGAACGAGGCUGCUUUUCUCUGACGAGUGCGUAGAGCAGAUAUUUUAGGAUGUUUCCUUUCUGUGCCAUCUUAACAGAUGUUCUGUCAGUUUUCUUUAGUUCUUUCAUUGUCCUUUUAAGCCAAGCUCACAAUUACCUAAAGAUUAAUUUCCCUCCCUAGACUGGCUGAGCAAAUGAUACAUAAAAUAAAAGAAAAAAAGAGCUUCAAAGGAAGGUGUGGCCCUUGGGUGAACAGCCUGUGGCCAUCCACGGUGUUAGUGACAGUGCUUUUCGGUAUGAGGCCUCACAGUCGUGGAUUUUAUAAAGUCCACCAGAAGAGUGAGUUUCAAUAAAACAGUGCUUGGUGGGGGGUGGGGUGGGGGUCCUCCUGUUUGGUCCUGAGUUGGGGCCCAGAACUGCCAGGGCUGCCCUUCCACGUCCUCCGGCCCCCCACCCCCCACCCCGGCCUCUGCAUGUUCAGGUCUUUGGGGUUUUCCCACCAUUAGGUCAGAAUUCCCUCAAUGAUCUAGCAAGGCGGCUUUUCAGUGUUUUGUUCUAUUUUUUGGUAGGAUGCAGACCCUUAGGAAAUUUAAAACAUUUUGUAUGUGCAAGAAUAUAUUUAAUAGAAUAAUACUUUUCACCCCGGCCUGGCUAAUUGUGAGUUUUAGUUACUACUAAAAAGUUGAGGAGUUUCUGUUGUGGUGCAGCGGGUUAAGAACCUGACAUAGUGUCUGUGAGGAUGAGGGUUGAUCCUUGGCCUCUCUCAGUGGGCCAAGAAUCCGCAUUGCUGAGAGCUGUGGUGUAGGUCGAGGAAAUGGCUUAGAUCCCAUGUUGCUGUGGCUGUGGUGAAGGCCAGCAGCUGUAGCUCUGAUUCAACCCCUAGCCUGGGAACUUCCAUAUGCC